GCUGGCGGCAGGCUUAACACAUGCAAGUCGAGCGCCGUAGCAAUACGGAGCGGCAGACGGGAGAGUAACACGUGGGAACGUACCCUUCGGUUCGGAACAACCCAGGGAAACUUGGGCUAAUACCGGAUACGUCCGAAAGGAGAAAGAUUUAUCGCCGAGGGAUCGGCCCGCGUCUGAUUAGCUAGUUGGUGAGGUAACGGCUCACCAAGGCGACGAUCAGUAGCUGGUCUGAGAGGAUGAUCAGCCUCACUGGGACUGAGACACGGCCCAGACUCCUACGGGAGGCAGCAGUGGGGAAUAUUGGACAAUGGGCGCAAGCCUGAUCCAGCCAUGCCGCGUGGGUGAUGAAGGCCCUAGGGUUGUAAAGCCCUUUCGGCGGGGAAGAUAAUGACGGUACCCGCAGAAGAAGCCCCGCCUAACUUCGUGCCAGCAGCCGCGGUAAUACGAAGGGGGCUAGCGUUGCUCGGAAUCACUGGGCGU
rnacentral:rRNA from 1 species